rnacentral:lncRNA from 10 species
CCAGUGUUCCCUUUAGGACUCUGGAUGGCAUAGAGGAAAGCAUCCCAGACUGAGGAGAGGUUCCAGCAGCUGCAAAAUGUUGGGGUAGCAAAAAGGCCCAGCUCAGUAGUGGAGGGAAGAUGCAUUACCUCAGAGGGAGUCCAAGAGGAUGCAUUGCUGCUACUUAAGACAGAUGUCAUAUGCCAACACAGUAUUCAGCAAACAUUAAAACUGACAACCAGAAAUGGCCCUGUGGGUUCAGGCGCCAUCCUGCAAACUAGCUCUCUCUACAAUGUGUCUGAGAGAAUUCAGGAUUGAGACUCAGGAGUCAGUAGAAGACCUACACCUUUGCUCCAAUUGUGUUUCUGCUCCUCUGCCUCAGAUGUCAUCAGAUGCUUACGCCAAGGGCAACAAGGAAAGGCUACGUGAGGACACAGCAAGGAAGUGACCAUCUGCAGGCCAGGAGGAGAACCCUCCCCAGACACUGAACUGGGGACUGCUAGCCUUCAAAACAUGAGAAAUUUCUGUUCAAACCACCCAGUCUGUGGUAUUUUAUGUCAGCCUGAGCUGACUAAUACACAUUCCUUACUCCAGCCAAGUUUUUCUUGUGGGCAUUUCAUUGUAUAAUGCCCUCUUCCCCUGACCACAGUGUGGCCCUGACUCAAACUGAGCCAAUCAGAGUCCCUCUUGAAGAUUUUUCAAAUUGAGACAAAAAGGAAGAGGGCACAGGGGAAGUUGAAGACGUCAUUUUAGAGUUGCCAGUGGUGAGGACUCGAGCAAGGCACAAGAAGCCAGUCUGGGAGAAUGAAGCUAAAAUUCCAAGAGAAGCAGAAAUAACACAGAGAGAGAAGGAGAGAUUCCUGGCUGUGGUCAGGGCCUUGGUUCUAGUUGUUUUUGUGGCCCAACUGCAUGUCUCUCCUUCAGUAAUUUGAUAAUAAGCCUAUUAAUUCCUUUUAGCCCAGGCUAGCUUAAAUUGGGUCUCUGUCAUUCACAACUUAAAGUGUUCCUUAAGGCAGGAAGCAUGACUCCUGAGCUUAAUGUAACUCAAGACUCAGAGACAUUCGGUAAGAAGAAAAUUGCCUAAUGGAUAUGCAGCCCAUUCACUCUCCUAUACAUCUGCUUUCCCAAAAUUGUGCUUCAUCAUAGUAUCAACAUUCUACAUUGGUGCUCAGUAUUAGAAGCAAACCCAUAACACUGUUAUAAUUUUUUAAGACUCCUGGAGAUGUUGUACAUGAUACAGUGUCUUUUUUAAAGAUGAAUAAGAUAAAUAUAUUUCUAGUUGGAGGCUCUAAGUCUGUUUUUGAGGAGUAACUUUAGUGAAAGGUGAAUGGGAUUGGAUUCAGACACUAGAUUUCAAGUCAGGCCCUGCCACUUAGAAGCGGUGUGAGUGCUCAGAAAAACUAAGGGCAUUUGUGAAGUAAAAGUAAAUACUGUGUGUCCUACAUAUCUCACAUUGUUGUUGUCAGCCAAUGUAGGUACAAAGUGCUUGGUAAAGUAGGAACCAUAAAUAAUUGUGAUUCAUCGGUUCCAAUCCUCCUUUUACCAUGAAUUUCAAGAUAAAUUUUUCACUGUCUUUUUUUUUUCUUUCUGUACAGGAGCUCCAAAUAUUGCUGUUUGGAGAAAUCUGCACCUUAAUAAGAGCAGUUAUUUGUGAGAAAAAAAAAAGACAAGAAUAUAUAUGAGAUGGGUAAGCAAUUCUAUUGGCCUGGGGUGAUGACGAUUUUUAUCUGCCAUCUAGCCCCAAGCUCUGGGCUCUGACUCCUUUGUGCAGGUAAAUACCAAGGUUAGGUUUUGAAUGUUUAUAGCAGAAUAAUUUAAUUUGACUCACUCUAGGGUUGAUUGAUUAUCAGCAUGUUGUUCAUUCCUAUUUUAAGUCUAUUUUGAUUCAAACCUUGUAUUUCUCUCUUCAGGACUGUAUGUUUACAUGUGGGGUUGGGGGUGACAGAGAAAAGGAGAAAGAAAGAUUUUUAUUUUUCCUUCUAAUAAAUACUCAUUGAAAAAAUCAUAGAAUGUAAAGGAAAUAGUGAUAUAAAUUAAAAUUUACUCCAUAACUCUCCUAUACAGAAAUCCUGUUAGCUGUGAGUUUCUUUUCUAUAUACAUUUAUAUAGUUGAGGUUCUGCAUAUAUAUAUAAUUCUGCAUCCUAGCUUUUCAAAAUGAUGUGAGAGCGAGAUAAUUUCCCAAAGUCAUUAGAAUUCAUUGAAAAUAUAAUUGAUGGCUAUAAAAUAAUUCAUAAUAGAUGGAGUAUACAUAAUAUUGAUUUCUAUUUCAUUAUUACCUUAUUUUUUAGGUGAAUUACAAAUUUUUGCUAUUAGGUUGGAGCAACAGUAAUUUCGGUUUUUGCCAUUACUUUUAAUGCUGUGAUUAAUAUUUUUGUUCAUAAAAAUCAGUACUCUUUAAAAAGAACUUCCCAUAUAUUUGCAGCACUUCUUUUACUAUGUGUGGAGACUCCUCUACUUACAAAUAGAUUCGUCCUGAAGAUAGUGUGUAAGUCCAUUUGUUCUCAAGUCCGAAGGGACCAGUAAAGGUAUUACCAUCUGUUGGUGGUAGGCAAAGAUAAGAGUUCUUUUUCUUUAUCUAGAUUUCUAAAUAGAAAGUCCAUAAGCAGGCGAGCUUGAGUGCUAAAUUCUUAGACACUGAGUUUGCUUCUAAACUAUUACAUAGAGCUAACCAUUUAUCUAAUUUUCUAUCUUAUUU